AACUUCUUAUCAGGGAAAAUAACCUACAAUUUUUUUAUGUUUAUUAACAUUGCCAUCUGUUCUUGUACAUGCUGCCAUUUUCAAUUCUAUUCUAUCUCUAAUACUUUUUAAGAAAAAUGCAAAUAAAAAAAAUUCUUCAAGGGGAUGUAACUCUCAAAGGGGAUAAUGAAAUCCUACACAGCCUCAUCUGGUAAUACCUCAUAAUGAGAUCUAUCGAUGGUCAAUAUUUGGUCUUGAUGACUUCAAUAGAAACGGGGGGAGGGCAUGUGAAAAAAAUGUUGGAA
rnacentral:lncRNA from 1 species